AGAACGAACGCUGGCGGCAUGCCUAACACAUGCAAGUCGAACGAGACCUUCGGGUCUAGUGGCGCACGGGUGCGUAACGCGUGGGAAUCUGCCCUUGGGUUCGGGAUAACAGUUGGAAACGACUGCUAAUACCGGAUGAUGACUUCGGUCCAAAGAUUUAUCGCCCAGGGAUGAGCCCGCGUAGGAUUAGCUUGUUGGUGAGGUAAGAGCUCACCAAGGCGACGAUCCUUAGCUGGUCUGAGAGGAUGAUCAGCCACACUGGGACUGAGACACGGCCCAGACCUCCGUACGGG
rnacentral:rRNA from 1 species